CAGAAUAUCUAGUGAUAUCUUGGGCUGCACUGAGCAGGUCAGUUCCUAUCUCAGGUGAGCGACUUUGGGCCUCUUUCAGGCCCUCUUGUAUAAUUAUUACAUUCUGACGUUCAUACAAAGGACAAAUUAUCCGGAAUUGUAAUACAAAUGACAAUUCUUUUUUGGGGAUCAAUUUUAAUAUCUCUACAGGCAUUACAAUGCAUUAAAAACUUCCAUCGUCAUACAGCACAACAUAAUUGGUCAAGACAAUACGAUAGUAUUACUUUCAAAAUUAACAGCACCUCACAAGUGAUUCAAUCCAUUUGUGCAUAACAUGCAUACAUUUCAUUCUUAAAUAAACUCACAGUCUAGGUACAAGAGAUUAUUGCACUUCACGCCGAGGUGAACUAAAUAUUACCACACAUUUAGCAUUGAACAGUUUAUUUGUCUAAACAAAUGCAGACAUUGAUGUCUUAUCACUAUUCCCAAUUUUUGCCUUGUUAAAAAACUUUAUUCAAAUCAAGAUUGCUAAUUUAACAACAUUUAUUCCACUUCAAGCUAAAUAUGUCAAAGUUCAAUUACAUUCAUGGCUGCCUAGGUAACACAUUUUAUUCCAUUCAUUGUUCCCUUAAUUACAAAGUUGAUUCCAGCAAUCCUAGCUUAAGUUAAUAAGUAUUUUUCCAUUCAUGGUUGCCCAAGUUACAAAGUUAAUUAUGUUAAUGGCUGCCUAGGUUACAAAGUUAAUUAUGUUAACGGCUGCCUAGGUUACAAAGUUAAUUAUGUUCAUGGCUGCCUAGGUUACAAAGUUAAUUAUGUUCAUGGCUGCCUAGGUUACAAAGUUAAUUAUGUUCAUGGCUGCCUAGGUUACAAAGUUAAUUAUGUUCAUGGCUGCCUAGGUUACAAAGUUAAUUAUGUUCAUGGCUGCCUAGGUUACAAAAUUAAUUAUGUUCUUGGCUGCCUAGGUUACAAAGUUUAUUGCAAUCAUGCUUAACUAGAUAUACAAAGUGUAUUCUAAUCAUGGUUGCGCAUGUUACAAUGUUUAUUCCAUCCCUAGCUGCCUAUGGUUUCAAAUGUAUUCCAUUCGAUGCUGCCUGUAUUACAGUUUAUUUCUUUCAUAUGAUGGUUGCAAAGUUAAAGUCAAAUAUGGUUUCAAAGCUUGAAAAGAUUAUCCCAACACCGGUUGCCUAGAAAAGGAAGUUUAUUCCUAUUGCCGUAGCCUAAGAAAGAAAGUUCAUGUUUAUGAUUGUUGCCUGGGUAAUAAACUUUAUUCCAUUCAUUGUUGCAAAGGUUACCAAGUCAAUUGCAAUCAUGGCUGUCUAGGCAAACAUUUGAACAAAUCAUGUU